AGGGUUCGAUUCUGGCUCAGGAUGAACGCUGGCGGCGUGCUUAACACAUGCAAGUCGAACGGGAUCCAUCAGGCUUUGCUUGGUGGUGAGAGUGGCGAACGGGUGAGUAAUGCGUGACCGACCUGCCCCAUACACCGGAAUAGCUCCUGGAAACGGGUGGUAAUGCCGGAUGCUCCGACUCCUCGCAUGGGGUGUCGGGAAAGAUUUCAUCGGUAUGGGAUGGGGUCGCGUCCUAUCAGGUAGUCGGCGGGGUAACGGCCCACCGAGCCUACGACGGGUAGCCGGCCUGAGAGGGCGACCGGCCACAUUGGGACUGAGAUACGGCCCAGACUCCUACGGGAGGCAGCAGUGGGGAAUAUUGCACAAUGGGCGCAAGCCUGAUGCAGCGACGCCGCGUGCGGGAUGACGGCCUUCGGGUUGUAAACCGCUUUUGAUCGGGAGCAAGCCUUCGGGUGAGUGUACCUUUCGAAUAAGCACCGGCUAACUACGUGCCAGCAGCCGCGGUAAUACGUAGGGUGCAAGCGUUAUCCGGAAUUAUUGGGCGUAAAGGGCUCGUAGGCGGUUCGUCGCGUCCGGUGUGAAAGUCCAUCGCUUAACGGUGGAUCUGCGCCGGGUACGGGCGGGCUGGAGUGCGGUAGGGGAGACUGGAAUUCCCGGUGUAACGGUGGAAUGUGUAGAUAUCGGGAAGAACACCAAUGGCGAAGGCAGGUCUCUGGGCCGUUACUGACGCUGAGGAGCGAAAGCGUGGGGAGCGAACAGGAUUAGAUACCCUGGUAGUCCACGCCGUAAACGGUGGAUGCUGGAUGUGGGGCCCGUUCCACGGGUUCCGUGUCGGAGCUAACGCGUUAAGCAUCCCGCCUGGGGAGUACGGCCGCAAGGCUAAAACUCAAAGAAAUUGACGGGGGCCCGCACAAGCGGCGGAGCAUGCGGAUUAAUUCGAUGCAACGCGAAGAACCUUACCUGGGCUUGACAUGUUCCCGACCGCGGCAGAGAUGUCGUUUCCCUUCGGGGCGGGUUCACAGGUGGUGCAUGGUCGUCGUCAGCUCGUGUCGUGAGAUGUUGGGUUAAGUCCCGCAACGAGCGCAACCCU
rnacentral:rRNA from 1 species